AUGAAGGGUAUUUUGGAGGUGACACAACAAGUUUUUGAGCCGAAGUACCUGGGCUUACCUGUACCGGAAGGAAGAGUACAUAAAGGGCAAUUUGAGACCGUGAAGGACAGGCUUAGGAAAAGAUUGGUUGAUUGGAGUGAACAGUACGUGUCAUCGGGAAAUAAGGAAAUCUUGAUUAAGGCGGUGGCACAAGCAAUACCAACCUAUGUGAUGAGUGUCUUCCGUCUGCCGGCAUCCGUGUGUGACGAUUUAACAAGGUUGAUGAGACAGUAUUGGUGGGGAGUGGAGAAUGGCAAGAGGAAGAUGGCCUGA
rnacentral:rRNA from 1 species